rnacentral:rRNA from 1 species
GGACUGACGCCUGCCCGGUGCUGGAAGGUUAAGAGGAAGGGUUAGCGCAAGCGAAGCUCUGAAUUUAAGCCCCAGUAAACGGCGGUGGUAACUAUAACCAUCCUAAGGUAGCGAAAUUCCUUGUCGGGUAAAUUCCGACCUGCACGAAUGGUGUAACGACUGCGGGGCUGUCUCAACGAGGUUCUCGGCGAAAUUGUAGCGCGAGUGAAGAUGCUCGCUUCCCACGGUAGGACAGAAAGACCCCGUGAACCUUUACUGUAACUUGGCAUUGAUUUUUGGUUUUGCAUGUGUAGGAUAGGUGGGAGACUUUGAAACGGUGGCGCCAGCUGUCGUGGAGUCGUCCUUGAAAUACCACCCUUGCGAAAUCGAACAUCUAACCGAUAAAGUUAUCCUUUAUCGGGACCAUGUCAGGCGGGCAGUUUGACUGGGGCGGUCGCCUCCCAAAGAG